rnacentral:rRNA from 1 species
GACGAACGCUGGCGGCGUGCCUAAUACAUGCAAGUCGAGCGGGCCUCCGGAGGUGCUUGCACCUCCGGAAGGCCAGCGGCGGACGGGUGAGUAACACGUGGGCAACCUGCCUUUGAGGCCGGGAUAACACCGGGAGACCGGUGCUAAUACCGGAUACGUCCUCUUUCGCGCCUGCGAGAGGGGAGAAAGACGGUCUUUAAGGCCGUCGCUCAAAGAGGGGCCCGCGGCGCAUUAGCUGGUUGGUGGGGCAAGGGCCUACCAAGGCGACGAUGCGUUGCCGACCUGAGAGGGUGAUCGGCCACACUGGGACUGAGACACGGCCCAGACUCCUGCGGGAGGCAGCAGUAGGGAAUCAUCCGCAAUGGGCGAAAGCCUGACGGUGCAACGCCGCGUGAGUGAGGAAGGUUUUCGGAUCGUAAAGCUCUGUUGUGAGGGAAGAACAGCAUCCGGAGGAAAUGCCGGAGGUUUGCCGGUACCUCACCAGAAAGCCCCGGCUAACUACGUGCCAGCCGCCGCGGUAA